rnacentral:rRNA from 1 species
GACGAACGCUGGCGGCGUGCUUAACACAUGCAAGUCGAACGGAAAGGCCCUGCUUUUGUGGGGUGCUCGAGUGGCGAACGGGUGAGUAACACGUGAGUAACCUGCCCUUGACUUUGGGAUAACUUCAGGAAACUGGGGCUAAUACCGGCUAGGAGCUCCUGCUGCAUGGUGGGGGUUGGAAAGUUUCGGCGGUUGGGGAUGGACUCGCGGCUUAUCAGCUUGUUGGUGGGGUAGUGGCUUACCAAGGCUUUGACGGGUAGCCGGCCUGCGAGGGUGACCGGCCACAUUGGGACUGAGAUACGGCCCAGACUCCUACGGGAGGCAGCAGUGGGGAAUAUUGCACAAUGGGCGGAAGCCUGAUGCAGCAACGCCGCGUGCGGGAUGACGGCCUUCGGGUUGUAAACCGCUUUCGCCUGUGACGAAGCGUGAGUGACGGUAAUGGGUAAAGAAGCACCGGCUAACUACGUG